rnacentral:rRNA from 1 species
UACAGGGGGGGCAAGGCGUUGUUCGGAAUUACUGGGCGUAAAGGGCCAGUAGGCGGCCAACUAAGUCCGACGUGAAAUCCCAGGCCUUAACCUGGGAACUGCGUCGGAUACUGGAUGGCUUGAAUUCGGGAGAGGGAUGCAGAAUUCCAGGUGUAGCGGUGAAAUGCGUAGAUAUCUGGAGGAAUACCGGUGGCGAAGGCGGCAUCCUGGACCGAGAUUGACGCUGAACGGCGAAAGCUAGGGGAGCAAACGGG